CUACGCACUCCUACGGGAGGCAGCAGUGGGGAAUAUUGCACAAUGGGCGCAAGCCUGAUGCAGCCAUGCCGCGUGUAUGAAGAAGGCCUUCGGGUUGUAAAGUACUUUCAGCAGUGAGGAAGGUGGGUAUGUUAAUAGCAUACUCAUUUGACGUUAGCUGCAGAAGAAGCACCGGCUAACUCCGUGCCAGCAGCCGCGGUAAUACGGAGGGUGCGAGCGUUAAUCGGAAUUACUGGGCGUAAAGCGCAUGCAGGUGGUUUGUUAAGUCAGAUGUGAAAGCCCGGGGCUCAACCUCGGAAUUGCAUUUGAAACUGGCAAACUAGAGUACUGUAGAGGGGGUAGAAUUUCAGGUGUAGCGGUGAAAUGCGUAGAGAUCUGAAGGAAUACCGGUGGCGAAGGCGGCCCCCUGGACAGAUACUGACACUCAGAUGCGAAAGCGUGGGGAGCAAACAGGAUUAGAUACCCUGGUCG
rnacentral:rRNA from 1 species